UACGAAGGGGGGCUAGCGUUGUUCGGAAUUACUGGGCGUAAAGGGCGCGUAGGCUGUGCUGUAAGUCAGGCGUGAAAGCCCCGGGCUCAACCUGGGAAUUGCGCUUGAUACUGCGGCGCUGGAAGGUGGGAGAGGAUGGCGGAAUUCCCAGUGUAGAGGUGAAAUUCGUAGAUAUUGGGGAAGAACACCGGUGGCGAAGGCGGCCAUCUGGCCCACAAUUGACGCGUGACGGCGCGAAAGCGUGGGGAGCAAACAGGAUUAAGAAACCCUUGG
rnacentral:rRNA from 1 species